rnacentral:rRNA from 1 species
UACGUAGGGGGCAAGCGUUGUCCGGAAUUAUUGGGCGUAAAGAGCGCGUAGGCGGUCCGGUAAGUCGGUUGUGAAAGUCGGGGGCUCAACCCUCGGCGUGCGGGCGAUACGGGCAGACUGGAGUACUGCAGGGGAGACUGGAAUUCCUGGUGUAGCGGUGGAAUGCGCAGAUAUCAGGAGGAACACCGGUGGCGAAGGCGGCACGCUGGACCUCAUCUGACGCUGAGGCGCGAAAGCUAGGGGAGCAAACGGG